rnacentral:misc_RNA from 1 species
UUAAUUAAAAGUCGUAACAAGUUUUCCGUAGGUGAACCUGCGGAAGGAUCAUUAAAGAGAAAGUAUUUGUGUGCGUAAAGCAUACAAACAUGAAUGCCGAGUAAAAGAAUCAUUCUUUUGCUCGUGACAUGAAAGCAUAUUUGAUUGUCUGAGUCUAAUUGCAAAAAAAAUAACCUUUAACAAUGGAUCUCUUGGCUCUU